rnacentral:rRNA from 1 species
AUUGAACGCUGGCGGCAGGCCUAACACAUGCAAGUCGAGCGGAGCGGCGGACGGGUGAGUAAUGCCUAGGAAUCUGCCUGGUAGUGGGGGAUAACGUCCGGAAACGGGCGCUAAUACCGCAUACUAUCAGAUGAGCCUAGGUCGGAUAAGCUAGUUGGUGGGGUAAAGGCCUACCAAGGCGACGAUCCGUAACUGGUCUGAGAGGAUGAUCAGUCACGCUGGAACUGAGACGCGGUCCAUACUCCUACGUGAGGGAGCAGUGGGGAAGAUUGGGGAAUGGGCGAAAGCGUGAUCCAGCCAAGCCGGGUGUGUGAAGAAGGUCUUCGGAUUGUAAAGCACUUUAGGUUGGGAGGCGUUACCAACAGAAUAAGCACAGGCUAACUUCGUGCCAGCAGCCGCGGUAAUAC